GUUAACAUUAAAGCAAGAUAAUAAAUAAUCUAGAAAAGCAAAAAAUAAAGCAACUAUGGCACAUGCAAGAGAUGUAGUUUGACUUCAAGGAGGUCUACAAAUUACGACAUUUUAGAAGUACUUAGCCACUCCAAAACAUUCAUAAGUGUGAACUACUAUUCCAAUGAUGUUGCUAAAGCAUUCUUUUGUUCUCGCUAUUCUCAUUAUGGUGGCAACUGCAAAUGUGCCCCUUUUGACGAACACAAAAGUCGAAGCUGUACUGGAUGUUGAUCAUAAUCUCUCAGGAAUGAGGAAGAGAUUACUCCCACAACUCAACACUUGUUUUAGAUCUUGUACUUCUAGCUUGGAUUGCAACGAUUGUUGGGUUUGUUGCGCUUGUGGAUUCUCUAUUACACUUGGUGGCCCUCUGUGUCUGACAGCUUGAUUAGUAUGCAGCGGAGACAAGCUCUUCUACACGUCUCCAUUAUGCAGUUGGGUUUCUGUGUUGUUUAAUGUUUCCUUCAUUUGCUUGUUUUCCAUAAUUUACAUGUAUAAUAAAGAAAGUCAAGUGAACAACUCGUUAUUUCAAAAUUACAAUAAACGCCACUACAAAAGUUGGCUGGGUAAGAAAUUGUAUGAUUCAUCAUGCAUUUACCUUAUUAAUAAAAUUAUGCAUAUGUAAUUUAUGUUUGUUUUUAGUUUUUAUUUAUUUAUAAUAAUUCAUGCUUCAACUUUAUGGAA